rnacentral:rRNA from 1 species
ACUCCUACGGGAGGCAGCAGUGGGGAAUAUUGCACAAUGGGGGAAACCCUGAUGCAGCCAUGCCGCGUGUGUGAAGAAGGCCUUGGGUUGUAAAGCACUUUCAGUAGGGAGGAAGGUAGUGUAGUUAACACCUGCAUUAUUUGACGUUACCUACAGAAGAAGCACCGGCUAACUCCGUGCCAGCAGCCGCGGUAAUACGGAGGGUGCGAGCGUUAAUCGGAAUUACUGGGCGUAAAGCGCAUGCAGGCGGCCUGUUAAGUCAGAUGUGAAAGCCCGGGGCUUAACCUCGGAAUUGCAUUUGAAACUGGCAGGCUAGAGUCUUGUAGAGGGGUUAGAAUUUCGAGGUGUAGCGGUGAAAUGCGUAGAGAUCUGAAGGAAUACCAGUGGCGAAGGCGGCCCCUGGACAAAGCUGACGCUCAGAUGCGAAAGCGU